UCACACCAGAUGCAGUAUGAAGUAGC
rnacentral:piRNA from 1 species